GUUGCCUGUGAGGAAAACAGAGUUACUAGUUGGAGUACAUAAGGUCUACUUCCUUGUAAAACUUGAGCAAAUGUUUGUUGUGUAUAGCCUAAAGGGUGUUGAGACAAAAGCUUCCCCAGAGUACGGACACCAUUUAAAGGUUCCAGAAGAGGCAGUAGAGAAAUGGAGGUAAAUCGAAACUGCUGCAGCCUUGCUUCCUUGGUUCUGUUGAUCAUCCUUAUUCAGUUUCCUGUGAAGUGCUUGAGUGCAGGAGACACCUACAAACUACAGGAAGAGAUGAUGCCAAUCACAUCCUUGCUCACCUACUGCAACAAGAAACAAGAGUGGGUUGUCCAUCAGCACAAACAUUUCUACAGAAGAGGUUGUUUAAAUUCACCAACUGUGGAAAGCAGAGAAAGACAGCCAGCCCCCUCUGUGAUGGCGACAUCAAACAUCCGUGUGUGACCAACAUACCAAAAACCUGCCAGUUAUCAAAACAUUGACAACCCUCUCAACUUUCUUAUUCAAUGAGUGCACCCAGUGUUAGCAACCACAGAGGGAUGAACACCGUGUUUAACUGCUUAUGUUAACCGACACUGGAAAACAUGCUGAAAAAACAACUGUGAUAUCUUUUGGAAAAAUGUAUACCUUAACAGUAGGGUAAAAUAUGCAUUUAUUUAUAGUGAUUAAAGUACUUUUCACAAAAAAAAAAAGAAAAUCACACAUUCUGUGCUCUCACACUGCCUAAUAAUUUUGAACACUUAAAUCAAAUUCCAACACUAAGAUAAAUACAAUUAAAAUAUUAUUACAGCACUGUACAUUUCUCCUUAAUAUUGACAAGAUUGUCAAAGAAUGGUAGUGCCUCACUCUUCCCAUUAAAACCGAUGCAGCAGUUAUCAAACAUGAGCCCAAGCAACUCCCAUUUUUAAAAGGAACCGUUAUGUAAAACAUCACAAUUUGACACUGAAACUUGUGAAAUCUUACAACCAUUUUCAAUACAAAAAAAAAUAAAAUAAAAAGGAACUAGUCUGUGUUCACGCGCACAUAAACAGUUGUAAAAAACUAGUUUGAAAGGCAUAAUACAUUUUCAAAGUGGUUAAAAGAAAAUAAAUUAAAAUUGUUGUUUUUUUUUCUUUUUCAUACAGCUCUUAGUCAUCAUUUCCUGUCAACAAUAUGAAAUUGUCAGAUUAUUAGACAUUAAUUAAGGAACCACAUGAAAUACUUUUAACACAUGGUGCAUCAUCUACAAAAAAGUUUUAUCCAAUUAAAAACAAUCUAAUCAUGUGAUCUCCCUAGAACUAAAGCAUAAGGAAACCAAAAAGGGGUGUGUAUGUAUGUAUAUAUAUAUAUAUACAUACAUACAUAUAUAUAUAAAGGACUGAAUACAACUAACCUUCACCCUCCUUUCCCUAUUGUAACGUCACAGUGCAAAGUUGUGUGUGCAGCUCAUGGCUCAUACAUUCUGUUUGCAAGGCACAUCCUUUAUGCAUCACCUCGGGGAGAGGGAAGCAGGAAAUUGUAAUAUGUAUAUAUGUGUGUAUGUGUCUCUAGUGGCAGGAAGCGCAGACCAACAUUCUGCUACAGGUGGCGUACAGCAGACCAGCUUUCUUUACAGUGGCGAAAAGAUAAUUUUAUCAACAACUUCCUCAUCCAUCUAGUUUAUCCACCCCACUAAAAACAGUCUGGAAACGUGGCAGCACUGAUCCUGCAGCAACAAUGGGAUUAACUGAAUUAAUAAAGGCCGACAACUUCAUAAACAAGUCGGCUUUUAGGGUAAUCUUUUCCCAAAAGUGGGAAUCUUUGGUUGGAUCAUUUCGAUCUGGGAUAAUGUAGUCACCCUGUCCCAUGUAUACUUUGCAACGACCUUUAUAUGUUCUCUUUUCCAAUUGCUGGAAUGAUAAUACUGCUGUGAGAAUGUUUUGGCUACUUUUCCGAUUUUUUUUUUUUUUUUGCGUUUUGAUUCACACAUAUGUUCCA